rnacentral:rRNA from 1 species
CACGUAGGGGCCAAGCGUUGUCCGGAUUUAUUGGGCGUAAAGAGCUCGUAGGCGGCUCGGUAAGUCGGGUGUGAAACCUCCAGGCUCAACCUGGAGACGCCACCUGAUACUGCUGUGGCUAGAGUCCGGUAGGGGAGCGUGGAAUUCCUGGUGUAGCGGUGAAAUGCGCAGAUAUCAGGAAGAACACCCGUGGCUAAGGCGGCUCUCUAGUACGGUACUGACGCUGAGACGCGAAAGCGUGGGGAGCGAACAGG